AGUGAACGCUGGCGGUAGGCCUAACACAUGCAAGUCGAACGGCAGCACAGUAAGAGCUUGCUCUUACGGGUGGCGAGUGGCGGACGGGUGAGGAAUACAUCGGAAUCUACUUUUUCGUGGGGGAUAACGUAGGGAAACUUACGCUAAUACCGCAUACGACCUACGGGUGAAAGCAGGGGAUCUUCGGACCUUGCGCGACUGAAUGAGCCGAUGUCGGAUUAGCUAGUUGGCGGGGUAAAGGCCCACCAAGGCGACGAUCCGUAGCUGGUCUGAGAGGAUGAUCAGCCACACUGGAACUGAGACACGGUCCAGACUCCUACGGGAGGCAGCGGUGGGGAAUAUUGGACAAUGGGCGCAAGCCUGAUCCAGCCAUACCGCGUGGGUGAAGAAGGCCUUCGGGUUGUAAAGCCCUUUUGUUGGGAAAGAAAAGCAGCAGGUUAAUACCCCGCUGUUCUGACGGUACCCAAAGAAUAAGCACCGGCUAACUACGUG
rnacentral:rRNA from 1 species